GCCGCUGCCCGGGUCGGGGGCCCGGCGGGGCCCAGCCGGCGCAGUCUGCCGCGGGGGCGACGACGCGGCGGCUCUCCCCGAGCAUCCCCGCGGGGCUUUUGUGCCUGCCGGGGGCGGGGGCCUGGCCGGUCCUCCCGAGGAGGGCGGCGGGAGCGCAGCCCCGCGGUAGCAUCCUCUCUGGGGCGGAGGCACGGACGAGCCGAGGGGCUGCGGCGGACAAAGCGAGGAGGCAGGCGGGGAACCCCCUCCGUUCCGUUCCGUUCCCCUCCCCUCCCCGCGGCUCCGCUGCCGGCGGUGCCCGCGCCGCCGCCGCCAGCCCCGCAUCCCGCGGCGGAGGCUGGGCCCGGCGCUGCCCCGGCCCCUUCCCCGCGGCUCCCCUACCUGUUCGGAAGAAAGCAUCCACCUCGGAGUCGGGGACAGCGCCUUCCUCCGCCGCCCCUUCGGCGGGAUUCAUGGCUGGGGUAGAGGCGGCGGCGAGCCCGGCGGCUGGUAAUAUCCACAUGGAGUUUUCAGGAGAACUGGAAGGGAGGAACGACAGAUGGGAUCCAAAUGAACUGUGACAAACAGGCUCCCUCCUGCCACUCAGGCUAAAGCCACAUAAAGAAGUAUUGCCAACUUCUGCUGGAAGUUAUUUAGGAUUCACCUCUGGAGCAACCUCACUGCAGUCUACAUAGAGCACA